AAGGUUCUCGUUGGUGACAGCGGAGGGUCAUUACCGAGUUUACAACUCCCAAACCCCAAUGUGAACGUUACCAAACUGUUGCCUCGGCGGGAUUUCUGCCCCGGGCGCGUCGCAGCCCCGGACCAAGGCGCCCGCCGGAGGACCAAUUUACAAACUCUUUUGUAUAUCCCAUCGCGGAUUCUUUACAUUCUGAGCUUUCUCGGCGCUCCUAGCGAGCGUUUCGAAAAUGAAUCAAAACUUUCAACAACGGAUCUCUUGGUUCUGGCAUCGAUGAAGAACGCAGCGAAAUGCGAUAAGUAAUGUGAAUUGCAGAAUUCAGUGAAUCAUCGAAUCUUUGAACGCACAUUGCGCCCGCCAGUAUUCUGGCGGGCAUGCCUGUCCGAGCGUCAUUUCAACCCUCGAACCCCUCCGGGGGGUCGGCGUUGGGGAUCGGCACUUACCUGCCGGCCCCGAAAUACAGUGGCGGUCUCGCCGCAGCCUCUCCUGCGCAGUAGUUUGCACACUCGCACCGGGAGCGCGGCGCGUCCACGGCCGUAAAACAACCCAAACUUCUGAAAUGUUGACCUCGGAUCAGGUAGGAAUACCCGCUGAACUUAAGCAUAUCAAUAAGCGGAGGA
rnacentral:rRNA from 1 species